AUUGAACGCUGGCGGCAUGCCUUACACAUGCAAGUCGAACGGCAGCACGGGGCAACCUGGUGGCGAGUGGCGGACGGGUGAGUAAUGCAUCGGAACGUACCUUUCAGUGGGGGAUAACGUAGCGAAAGUUACGCUAAUACCGCAUAUUCUGUGAGCAGGAAAGCAGGGGAUCGCAAGACCUUGCGCUGAUUGAGCGGCCGAUGUCAGAUUAGCUAGUUGGUGAGGAAAAGGCUCACCAAGGCGACGAACUGUAGCGGGUCUGAGAGGAUGAUCCACCACACUGGAACUGAGACACGGUCCAGACUCCUACGGGAGGCAACAGUGGGGAAUUUUGGACAAUGGGGGCAACCCUGAUCCAGCCAUGCCGCGUGAGUGAAGAAGGCCUUCGGGUUGUAAAGCUCUUUCGGCCGGGAAGAAAUCGCACGGGCUAAUACCCUGUGUGGAUGACGGUACCGGAAUAAGAAGCACCGGCUAACUACGUGCCAGCCGCCGCCGUAAUAC
rnacentral:rRNA from 1 species